GAUCUUCCGGGUGACGAGUCCGGACGUCCGCACGUGGCUGCCGGCUACUUCGGCGCUGCCGCGGUGGUGGUGGAGCUGCUGCCCGGAGUUGGGGAGCCAUGGAAGGCCCGAGCGUGGAGGAGCUGCUGGCCAAGGCGGAGCAGGAGGAGGCGGAGAAGCUGCGGCGCAUCACGGUGCACAAGGAGCUGGAGCUGGAGUUCGACCUGGGCCACCUGCUGGCUUCGGACCGCAACCCCCCGACGCUGCUGCGCCAGGCCGGGCCCUCGCCCGAGGCCGAGCUGCGGGCGCUGGCGCGGGACAACACGCAGCUGCUCAUCAACCGGCUCUGGCAGCUGCCGACCGAGCGCGUGCAGGAGGCGGUGGUGGCGCGCCUGCCGGAGCCCGCCACCCGCCUGCCCCGCGAGAAGCCGCUGCCCCGGCCGCGGCCGCCCACCCGCUGGCAGCAGUUCGCCCGCCUCAAGGGCAUCCGCCCCAAGAAGAAGACCAACCUCGUGUGGGACGAGGUGAGCGGCCAGUGGCGGCGCCGCUGGGGCUACCGGCGAGCCCGGGACGACACCAAGGAGUGGCUGAUCGAGGUGCCCGGGGGCGCCGACCCCAUGGAAGACCAGUUCGCCAAGCGCAUUCAGGCCAAGAAGGAGCGCGUGGCCAAGAACGAGCUGAACCGGCUGCGCAACCUGGCCCGAGCGCACAAGGCGCAGGUGCCCAGCGCGGCCGGCCUGCACCCCACGGGACACCAGAGUAAGGAGGAGCUGGGUCGCGCCAUGCAGGUGGCCAAGGUCUCCACCGCUUCGGUGGGGCGCUUCCAGGAGCGCCUCCCCAAGGAGAAGGCGCCCCGGGGCACCGGCAAGAAGAGGAAGUUUCAGCCCCUCUUUGGGGACUUUGCAGCCGAGAAGAAGCACCAGUUGGAGCUGCUUCGAGUCAUGAACAGCAAGAAGCCUCAGCUGGACGUGGCGAGGGCCACCAACAAGCAGAUGAGGGAGGAGGACCAAGAAGAGGCCGCCAAGAGGAGGAAAAUGGGCCAGAAGGGCAAGAGAAAGGGGGGCCGGCAGGGACCUUCGAACAAGAGGAAAGGUGGUCCGCCGGGCCAGGGAGAGAAGAGGAAAGGCGGCCUGGGGGGCAAGAAGCAUUCCCGGCCUCCCACUUUCGGCGGCAAGAAGAAAGGGGUGCCGCACCAAGGUGGGAAGAGGAGGAAGUAGUGGUUCCUUUGCAGACCUGUUCUGCAAAGCGAGGACUGUCUGAACUAAGGGUCAAGUUGAGCGCACCGCAGGCUGGCGCAGGGGGUGGCCGCUGCCCCCACUGAGCUCGAGAUUAAAGGAGACCGGUUUUGCUUCCUAUCACUAGCGUGGGCGGUACAUUUGGGUCAAGUGUGGAGAAGGGAAAUCAAGGCACGUGGAGGGAGGCUGGUGGAAAUAGCUUCUCUCACUGGGAAACUGAUAAUACAAGCUCCAAGUGUGCCACGUUCGCUAUGUGCACGAUAUUUCAUGCUAUUUAUGCUUUCAAUUUGAAAUACAAUGUUUUUCAAAACUGAAAACGCACUUAUGAUACUUUAAGAAUGUUUAGGUUCUUCAGGAACAAGGCUUUGGGGUUAAAAGACAACUCUAAAAGCUAAAGUAAGGUGAUUGCUAGAAGAAAAAAUCUGGCCUGUAUACAUUUUAAAAAUAAUCUAUUUCUUAACAAUUAAAAAUAAUAACAAAAGUUUUCAGCUCCCACCACCUUAAUCCUUGUCAGACCCCGGGGUCCCUAAUAGUUCUCGGUAGCUUUCGCCUGUCGCCAGGAUGUCACAUGAAUUAUUGACACAUGAAGUAUAAAUUUUCUUCUUGGAAGGAGGUAAGCUAUGAAGAGAGAGGCAAGGAGAGAGAGGUCAGCCAUGCCUGCUCCCGAGCAGAGGGAGGGCACAGCAGGCCUGAUGAGGAGCGAAAGAGAGAGGUUAGUGACCAAGGCCUUCUCCUGCUCCGGAAGAGGUGCCCCCCCCCAACCCCCUGGGGCAGAUGGGGCCUCUAACCACCAGCCAUGAAGUGGAACCAGCCUUUAAGGCCCUUGGGAAAACAGGCAGAAUUUUCUUCUGUGCUAAACUUUUUUGGCUUUUUUUCUGCUUGGGGAAUGGCUUAGAAAGAGAGAACCCCAGCAUACUGUUUGACCUAAACUUCAGCAGCAGAAGCAGAAACACUAUAGCAAGAACGUCUGCAGAGCCGUGGAGGAGCCAGAGAAAGCUGGCUUUGGAUAGGGUGACGCCUUUGCCCUCGGGAACAGCGUGGCGUUGGUGGUGUCUAGUUCAGGUCUCGUUGACAGCAAAAACUGGGCAGUGCACCUGAUGCUGUUGACUUCCCUUGAUCUUGUGGCUGACCAGAACUGAUUAUAGAUGAGUAGAUUAAAAGGGAAGAUAAGCAUCCAGGAAGGUGGUUCAGUGAUGAGGACCUGAGCUGGAGCCCCAGAAUUGGCACACACGUGGAUCAACUCCACAAAAUCGCCCUCUGACCUCCACAUGCUUGCUGUGGUACACACCGCUGCCAUACACACAGGCAUCAUGCACACACAACAAUAACUUUUUUAAAUAUUAAAUUUAUUGAUGGCCUCUUAUUGCCCCCAAAUAACAACUAGCUUUAUACAGAAAUUUUAGAAAUCAGUUUUCAGUACUGUUUUGUAAAUAUUGAUCUAUAUUUUAUGUACAACCAUGAAAUGCCAAAAAGGUGUGCUUUGAGGUAAGGUUUUAGGAAGAUGUUUAUGUUUACUGCUGGAUUUUAUUAUCAAAAAACACUAUUAUUUGGCUUAUUUUUUGGUGCG